rnacentral:tRNA from 1 species
GGGUGCUUAGCUCAGCGGUAGAGCGCCGCCCUUACAAGGCGAUGGUCGCAGGUUCGAUCCCUGCAGCACCCACCA